UCCUUAGAUGUUCUGGGCCGCACGCGCGCUACACUGAUGCAUUCAACAAGUUCUACCUUGGCCGAGAGGCCUGGGAAAUCUUUCAAAUAUGUAUCGUGAUAGGGAUAGAUUAUUGCAAUUAUUAAUCUUGAACGAGGAAUUCCUAGUAAAUGCAGAUCAUCAUUCUGCGUUGAUUACGUCCCUGCCCUUUGUACACACCGCCCGUCGCACCUACCGAUUGAAUGAUCCGGUGAAGCCUCGGGAUUGUGCCCAGAGAACUUUAUUGUGAUUUGGGUGUGAGAACUUGUCUAAACCUUAUCAUUUAGAGGAAGGUGAAGUCGUAACA
rnacentral:rRNA from 1 species